GAAAAUGUAGACUUUAAAGAUAUGUAGUAGGACCAGUCUGCCAUUAAUAUCUCCUUCUACCAACCUUCCUCUCCUCUUUCACUACCCUACAUUUAACAUUUUCCUAUAACCACUGCUUUAGAUAAGUCAAAUUUAGCUCUUUGUUUUGAUCUCUGUUUCAAAAGAAAACACCUAUUAAGCAGCCAUCAUCUUUCUUAUCUUUUCCAAAACCAAAACUACUGACUUUUCUUGAAAAAAGAAGAGGUGGGGUGCUUUCUUUUCUUCAAAAACCUUCUCUUUGUUCUUGAAAAAACAGGACUCAUUCAUUUUUUUUUGUGUGUUUCUUUCAGAAGAAAUAACAAAGACCCUUUCUCUGUUUUCU
rnacentral:misc_RNA from 1 species